UACGAAGGGGGCUAGCGUUGCUCGGAAUCACUGGGCGUAAAGGGUGCGUAGACGGUAUGUUAAGUUCGCUGUUAAAGGCUCCGGCCUAACUGGAGUACCGCAAUGAAAACUGGCGUGCUAGAGGGUGAGAGAGAGAAGUGGAAUUCCCGGAGUAGCGGUAAAAUGCGUGGAUCUCGGGAGGAACACCAAUGGCGAAGGCAGCUUCUUGGCUCAUUCCUGACGUUGAGGCACGAAAGCGUGGGGAGCAAACAGG
rnacentral:rRNA from 1 species